rnacentral:rRNA from 1 species
GAUGAACGCUGGCGGCGUGCCUAAUACAUGCAAGUCGAGCGAACAGACGAGGAGCUUGCUUCUCUGACGUUAGCGGCGGACGUGAGAGUAACACGUGGAUAACCUCCCUAUCAGACUGGGAUCACUUCGAGAAACCGGAUCUAAUCCCGGAUAAUAUAUUGCACCGCAUUGUUCAUUAGUAAAAGACGGUUUUGCUGUCACUACUCGCUGGAUCCGCGCCGCAUUAGCUAGUUGGUACGUUACAGGCUUACCAAGGCUACGAUGCGUAGCCGACCUGAGAGGGUGAUAGGCCGCAUGGGAACUGAGCCGGGGACCAGACUCCUACGAGAGGCAGCAGUAGGGAAUCUGACGCAGUAGUCGAAAGCAUUGCGGAAUGAGGCCGCGUAAGUGAUGAAGGUCUUCGGUGCGUAAAGACGUGUUAUGAGGGAAGAACAAAUGUGUAAGGAACUGUGGACGGAGUGACGGUACCUAAUCAGAAAGCAACGGCUAACUACGUG